UACGAAGGGGGCUAGCGUUGCUCGGAAUUACUGGGCGUAAAGGGCGCGUAGGCGGACAGCUUAGUCAGAGGUGAAAGCCCAGGGCUCAACCUUGGAAUUGCCUUUGAUACUGGCUGUCUUGAGUUCGGGAGAGGUGAGUGGAAUGCCGAGUGUAGAGGUGAAAUUCGUAGAUAUUCGGCGGAACACCAGUGGCGAAGGCGACUCACUGGCCCGAUACUGACGCUGAGGCGCGAAAGCGUGGGGGGCAAACAGG
rnacentral:rRNA from 1 species